UACGGAGGUGGCAAGCGUUGCUCGGAAUCACUGGGCUUAAAGGGCGCGUAGGCGGGUGCUCAAGUCCGUGGUGAAAUCCUCCGGCUCAACCGGAGAACUGCCUCGGAUACUGGGCGUCUCGAGUGUGGUAGGGGUAUGCGGAACUAUCGGUGGAGCGGUGAAAUGCGUUGAUAUCGAUAGGAACUCCGGUGGCGAAGGCGGCAUACUGGACCACCACUGACGCUGAUGCGCGAAAGCCAGGGGAGCAAACGGG
rnacentral:rRNA from 1 species